AGCAGUAGCCGCGGGAAUACGUAGGUGGCAAGCGUUGUCCGGAUUUAUUGGGCGUAAAGCGAGCGCAGGCGGUUUCUUAAGUCUGAUGUGAAAGCCCCCGGCUCAACCGGGGAGGGUCAUUGGAAACUGGGAGACUUGAGUGCAGAAGAGGAGAGUGGAAUUACAUGUGUAGCGGUGAAAUGCGUAGAUAUAUGGAGGAACACCAGUGGCGAAGGCGGCUCUCUGGUCUGUAACUGACGCUGAGGCUCGAGAGCGUGGGGAGCGAACAGGAUUAGAUACCCCUGUAGUCCCUGUCUCUUAUAC
rnacentral:rRNA from 1 species